rnacentral:rRNA from 1 species
GAUGAACGCUGGCGGCGUGCCUAAUACAUGCAAGUCGAGCGAACAGACGAGGAGCUUGCUCCUCUGACGUUAUCGGCCGACGGGAGAGUAACACGUGGUUAACCUAACUAUAAGACUGGGAUAAUUUUGGGAAACCGGAUCUACUACCGGAUAAUAUAUUGAACCGCAAGGUUCCCUAGUGAAAGUAGGUUUUGCUGUCACUUAUAGCUGGAUACGCGCAUCAUUCGCUAGUUGGUAAGGUAACGGAUUACCAAGGCUACGAUGCUUAGACGACCUGAGGGGGUGAUCGGCCACACGGGAACUGAGACAGAUUCCAGACUCCGACGGGAGGCAGCAGUAGGGAAUCUUCCGGAAGGGGGGAGAGCCUGACAGAGCAACGCCGCGGGAGUGAUGGAGGUCUUCUGAUCGGAGAGCGAUGUUGUUAGGGAAGAACAAAUGCGUAAGUAACUGUGCUGGUAUUGACGGUACCGAGUGAGAAAGCCACGGCUAACUACGUG